UGCCAGCCGCCGCGGUAAUACAGAGGUGGCAAGCGUUGUUCGGAUUUACUGGGCGUAAAGGGUGCGUAGGUGGCACCGUAUGUCGGACGUGAAAGCCCACGGCUCAACCGUGGAACUGCGUUCGAAACUACGGAGCUAGAGUAUUGGAGAGGUAGGCGGAAUUCUUGGUGGAGCGGUGAAAUGCAUAGAUAUCAAGAGGAACACCGGUGGCGGAGGCGGCCUACUGGACAAAUACUGACACUGAGGCACGAAAGCUAGGGGAGCAAAGAGGAUUAGAUA
rnacentral:rRNA from 1 species